rnacentral:rRNA from 1 species
GACGAACGCUGGCGGCGUGCCUAAUACAUGCAAGUCGAGCGAGCGGCGGACGGGUGAGUAACACGUAAGAACCUACCGAUAAGAGGGGGACAACAUCCGGAAACGGGUGCUAAUACCGCAUACUUAUCGAUGGCCUUGCGGUGCAUUAGCUCGUUGGGGGGGUAACGGCCUACCAAGGCAAUGAUGCAUAGCCGACCUGGGAGGGUAAUCGGACACAUUGGUACUUAGACCCGGCCCAGACUCCUACGGGAGGCAGCAGUUGGGAAUAUUGCACAAUGGGCGAAAGCCUGAUGCAGCCGUGCCGCGUGUAUGAAGAAAGCCUUCGGGUUGUAAAGUACUUUCAGCGAGGAGGCGUUACUCGCAGAAUAAGCACCGGCUAACUCCGUGCCAGCAGCCGCGGUAAUAC